rnacentral:rRNA from 1 species
AUUGAACGCUGGCGGCAUGAUUUACACAUGCAAGUCGAACGGUAACAGGCCGCCAGGUGCUGACGAGUGGCGCACGGGUGAGUAAUGCAUCGGAACGUGCCCAGUCGUGGGGGAUAACUACUCGAAAGAGUAGCUAAUACCGCAUACGAUCUAUGGAUGAAAGCGGGGGACCGUAAGGCCUCGCGCGAUUGGAGCGGCCGAUGUCAGAUUAGGUAGUUGGUGGGGUAAAGGCUCACCAAGCCAACGAUCUGUAGCUGGUCUGAGAGGACGACCAGCCACACUGGGACUGAGACACGGCCCAGACUCCUACGGGAGGCAGCAGUGGGGAAUUUUGGACAAUGGGCGCAAGCCUGAUCCAGCAAUGCCGCGUGCAGGAAGAAGGCCUUCGGGUUGUAAACUGCUUUUGUACGGAACGAAACGGCUCUGGUUAAUACCCGGGGCUAAUGACGGUACCGUAAGAAUAAGCACCGGCUAACUACGUG